rnacentral:tRNA from 1 species
GUCUCGUUAGCUCAGUUGGAUCAGAGCGCCGGCCUACGAAGCCGGAGGUCGCACGUUCGAGUCGUGCACGAGACGCCA